UCUUCAAGUCGUGUUACGCCGCUAUGCUACAAGUCGCUGCUAUCUCAACAAUACACGAAACAAUGGCUGAAAAUUACCAGGGUAAGUGUUUUUUCAUCUGAGUUAUUUAAAUAUAUUUUAACGUGAAUAUUUGUUUAAUGUCUCGUGGUUAUAAUCUCUAGGUGGCUUUGCGAAUCAGGAUUUCGACGAUGGUCUGGAACAGAUCCUUGAAGAGCUAUUCGAUGAGGCGGAGCUAUUUGCUUGUGAUGAUGACGGUGCUGUUAAUAACGGUGAGCACGUUGAUACCAACAGUCACGUGAUAAUGUUACCUACAGAGGACGUUUUACAAGAGGUUGUGGUUAGUGCGGACGUCACAAAUCCCACUCCCGCCCCAGUUCCGUCUUCAGAGGAACGGUCUCACACGCUCCCAGACUGUUCAAGUGUUCACAUACCAGGUACUUCCAGGCCGCGUCACUCGCAGGGUCAGGGGGUUAAACGUUUGAGGCUACCGGAGCACGAAACGGAUGAUGCACCGACCACCAGUUGUUUAAGGACUUCGGAGAAUAACGAACAAGGGUACGACGAAGGAGGCCUAACAGCGUGGACUGAUUCGCAGAUACAUGCGUGGGAUCAAGGGUCCUUCAGUGCUUCGGAAAGCGAGGAGGGGGAUGAGGAAUUACCUCACGAAAUUCCUCAGGAAUUGUUCCGUGAGCGUGAUUUAAACAGAAGGCUUGAUUAUGAUAUGCUGCGCCGUGUUAAUCGGAGCUUUGAGAC